GGCCGGAUAAAGCGUUUACGCUGCCAUCCGGCAUCGAUGCCCGGUGGCGACGCGGAUGCGUCUUACCGGGCC
rnacentral:ncRNA from 1 species